AUCAAAUCGAUGACUAUAUUUGUUCAUUCGAGGGACUUGGCGACUUAACAAUGGACUCCUUAGCAAUGUUCAUAUUCUUGUGGGCCGUGCUGGCCCUCUUCUCCGUUUGGCUGUGCAAGCUGCUCUACCACAAGUAUCUCAAUAAGGGCGCCAAUGCCGCCGCCGUCUCCAGUGCCGGCAACAGUCGGCAGAGCAGCGUUGCUCCAGGCGGCGCCGCGAAGACGGAGAAGCGACUGUCUGAGCCACGCGAUCUGCUGGCCACCAAGAGUAAAGUAGAAGAUUUAUCCAAGCCACUGACCGGCGGCGGCGGCGCUGGGUCAGCGGGACGCGGACGUUCCACAGCCUCGCCGAUGGGCGGCGCUGCAGCCGGACCGCGUCGCCGUGUCGUGCGCCAGAGCUCCACGGGGCCAGAGAAUCGCAAAAAGCGCUACGUGCCGCCGCCCUCAAAUGUGGUUGGACCAGAAACGAGCUCCGUCACAUGGACCAGCCAAGUGUUCCGCUGGCUGUACAGCGAUCUAGUUAUAGUCAACGAACUGCUCAUGUCCUGGGUGAUAGCGAUAAACGACACGCUGCGCAAAUCCGUCGAGGAGCAUGGCGUAGCAGUUGAGGUGGUGCGCGUACUGCCCGACAGUCCAGCGCCGGCCCUAAACAACAUAUUUUGCAAUUGCGAGGAGCAGAAUCCCGCUGAAAUGCUCAUCACCUUCGACUGCGAUGCGAUGCCUGUGCUGCAGGUGAAGACGUUCAGGCAGAAGUCGGGCAAGGUGGAGACCUCGCAUUACAAGGUCACCGUGUCGCGAUUCCGUGCACGCAUGUCCAUACCCAUCAACUACAAUACGCUGAAGGGUGAGAUGCGUGUCGACGGCUAUCCGGACGUGCGCAUUGCCAUGAACAGUGUGGGCGCCAUCAAGGCCAUGGAUCAGGAUGAGCAGCAGCUGCAGACGGUCAUCAGUGACAUAUUGACGACGGCGCUGCGUGACACCGUCUAUCCGGUUGACUUCUCCAUCUACUCGACCUGCCCGCGCGCCGAAGUGGAGCCCUUGGACUUGCCCGUAAUCUAUCCCGUGCACUAUGAUUCGCUGGCGCACAACAUGGAGCAUCUGGGCUCUGGCAUGCUGCGCGACUCCCAGCACAUGGUAUCCGGUCGUCGACUGCUCGUGAAGAUCGUCAAAGGCGACGGACUAAAAGAUGCCCACGAGCCAUACGUGGUCAUCGAGAUGGAUGAGCCGGCGCAGAAGAACCAGACGGGCACUCAGCGAGGCAGCAAACCCUACUGGGAUGAGCAUUUCCUAUUCGAACUCUCCCCGCAGUCGGCUGAAAUACUCUUUGAAGUCUAUGACCAUCCAGUGAUUGCAUCGGAUCCGCCCAAGUUCCUUGGCCUCGGCCUCGUCGGCAUUGACGAGCUGGCCGUGGGGCCCGCCUCCAGCCAGGUGCUGCAACUGCAGCCACGCCCCUACGAAACGCAGCCCGUUGCGGGCGCCAUAACCGUCGACUUUGUCUUCAUCGAGGGCGCCGAGAUUCCAGCCAACGCGCGUCCCAACCGCCUGAAGGAAGCCCUGCGCCUGAGCACGCCUGCCAUCAACGAGCACAUACGCAACGGCGCCGAUCUGGCUGAUGCAGCGGUCCGUGCUCUGCAGGAUGGCACACUCGCCGGCUCCAGCGCCGGCGGCCAGCCCAGCAAGAGCACCCUGAUCAUACACAGCGUGCAACGGAACUCGACCAAUCCACAUGCAUUUAAGGUCGAGUUGAACAAAGAUGGCCAGCUCGAGGUGACCGAAAAAGCAUCGCCCACUGAGCUCGACCAGGCCGUGGCCCAGGCAUUCGAGCGGGCUGCCAAUGAGGCGGCCAGCUCGACCUCGAUCGAUCUGGUGGAUAGUCCAGCCAGCGAGUCGCCCAAUACGUCAGGUAACACAGGUAACACCAACGAGGAGUCCACAGCCGAGUUUGGCCAGCCGAAUGCCGCCUCCUCGCCGAAUGGCAGCGGCUAUCACAACAACUACAGCUUAAAUGGCACAAACAAUCUCACCGGCCAGUCCAAUGGCAGCGGCAGCGCCUACAACUCGAACAGUUUGCCUCGCAAUGGCGCCUCUACGCCGUACUCGAGCGUGCAGCAGCAGCAGCAGCAGCAGUCGGGCUUGGAUCUGGAUGAUCGUGGUCGCAGCAAAAAACGUAAUUUCUUUGGCACCCUCAAGAAGCGUCUCAGUCGUUCUAAAACCCGCACCCUAUCGGCCGAUCAGCCCAAUAACAACAACCAUAAUUCACAAUCAGCCAACAAUACAACAACAAGAGCCACAGGACUCACUCGAACAGCCACUGGAACCCUCAAUGGUGAAUCUUCCCGUUCAUUAUCUGUCGAUCGUGCCACUCUGUCUAAAAGCAAUUCACUUGAAUCCUCAGCCAUCUCCGGGUUCUCCUCGGCAAGCAACAAGACCUACGUGCACGAGGCAUCCACCUUGGUCCUGGAAACUGUGGAGAAUGGCGUUAAGCGGCAUUUCAUUGUGCCACUGGCCAUUGCACAGAGGCCUCGCUGGCGUCGCAAGGGCACCAAACUGCACAUCUACAACGAUCACACCUUCAUAGCCAAGCAUCUGAGCGGAGGUGGCUUACAGUGCUCGAUCUGUAUGAAGUCCAUACCCAGGCGGCCGGGCAAGCAAGGCUACGAGUGUCGCGACUGCCAAUUGAUAUGUCACAAGCAAUGUCACGUCCGUGCUCCACAGGCGUGUCCCAAUCCCACGGUGCUCUCUAUGGAACUAACCUCAUAUCCGGAUGUUGAUUGAUCAGUAAGAUUUUAAGCGCACAAUUAUAUAAAAAUAAUGUUUCACAAUAAGAAGAGCAGCAGCAGCAGCAUCAGCAUAAGUAACUAAUAAAACACAAUAUAUUUUGACGUCAAUAUCAGUUUAUGUUCAACAUUCAAGCGAAAUAUUUAGAGAGCAGAAAGAAUAUUUUUUAGGCCAAUUAUUCAGAACUUCCGUUACCGUUCACUAAUUUUGGACAAUGGAACGAAACUAAAUCUAACUGCUGCGGAUCUUAGCAGGAAAUUAUAAAGAAAUUUACAAUAAAAAUACGAAUCGAAAUAAUAUAUAUAUUUAAAACUAGUUUGCAAUUUAUACACAUUGAGCGAAAGAGAAGUCGUCUAGAAAUAUUGAAAUCCUAAACUCUCAGAACAGAAACAAAACAAUUUGUAAACCUAUAAUCU